rnacentral:rRNA from 1 species
GGGUUGUGAGGUUAAGCGACUAAGCGUACACGGUGGAUGCCCUGGCAGUCAGAGGCGAUGAAGGACGUGCUAAUCUGCGAUAAGCGUCGGUAAGGUGAUAUGAACCGUUAUAACCGGCGAUUUCCGAAUGGGGAAACCCAGUGUGUUUCGACACACUAUCAUUAACUGAAUCCAUAGGUUAAUGAGGCGAACCGGGGGAACUGAAACAUCUAAGUACCCCGAGGAAAAGAAAUCAACCGAGAUUCCCCCAGUAGCGGCGAGCGAACGGGGAGCAGCCCAGAGCCUGAAUCAGUGUGUGUGUUAGUGGAAGCGUCUGGAAAGGCGCGCGAUACAGGGUGACAGCCCCGUACACAAAAAUGCACAUGCUGUGAGCUCGAUGAGUAGGGCGGGACACGUGGUAUCCUGUCUGAAUAUGGGGGGACCAUCCUCCAAGGCUAAAUACUCCUGACUGACCGAUAGUGAACCAGUACCGUGAGGGAAAGGCGAAAAGAACCCCGGCGAGGGGAGUGAAAAAGAACCUGAAACCGUGUACGUACAAGCAGUGGGAGCACGCUUCGGCGUGUGACUGCGUACCUUUUGUAUAAUGGGUCAGCGACUUAUAUUCUGUAGCAAGGUUAACCGAAUAGGGGAGCCGAAGGGAAACCGAGUCUUAACUGGGCGUUAAGUUGCAGGGUAUAGACCCGAAACCCGGUGAUCUAGCCAUGGGCAGGUUGAAGGUUGGGUAACACUAACUGGAGGACCGAACCGACUAAUGUUGAAAAAUUAGCGGAUGACUUGUGGCUGGGGGUGAAAGGCCAAUCAAACCGGGAGAUAGCUGGUUCUCCCCGAAAGCUAUUUAGGUAGCGCCUCGUGAAUUCAUCUCCGGGGGUAGAGCACUGUUUCGGCAAGGGGGUCAUCCCGACUUACCAACCCGAUGCAAACUGCGAAUACCGGAGAAUGUUAUCACGGGAGACACACGGCGGGUGCUAACGUCCGUCGUGAAGAGGGAAACAACCCAGACCGCCAGCUAAGGUCCCAAAGUCAUGGUUAAGUGGGAAACGAUGUGGGAAGGCCCAGACAGCCAGGAUGUUGGCUUAGAAGCAGCCAUCAUUUAAAGAAAGCGUAAUAGCUCACUGGUCGAGUCGGCCUGCGCGGAAGAUGUAACGGGGCUAAACCAUGCACCGAAGCUGCGGCAGCGACACUAUGUGUUGUUGGGUAGGGGAGCGUUCUGUAAGCCUGUGAAGGUGGCCUGUGAGGGUUGCUGGAGGUAUCAGAAGUGCGAAUGCUGACAUAAGUAACGAUAAAGCGGGUGAAAAGCCCGCUCGCCGGAAGACCAAGGGUUCCUGUCCAACGUUAAUCGGGGCAGGGUGAGUCGACCCCUAAGGCGAGGCCGAAAGGCGUAGUCGAUGGGAAACAGGUUAAUAUUCCUGUACUUGGUGUUACUGCGAAGGGGGGACGGAGAAGGCUAUGUUGGCCGGGCGACGGUUGUCCCGGUUUAAGCGUGUAGGCUGGUUUUCCAGGCAAAUCCGGAAAAUCAAGGCUGAGGCGUGAUGACGAGGCACUACGGUGCUGAAGCAACAAAUGCCCUGCUUCCAGGAAAAGCCUCUAAGCAUCAGGUAACAUCAAAUCGUACCCCAAACCGACACAGGUGGUCAGGUAGAGAAUACCAAGGCGCUUGAGAGAACUCGGGUGAAGGAACUAGGCAAAAUGGUGCCGUAACUUCGGGAGAAGGCACGCUGAUAUGUAGGUGAAGUCCCUCGCGGAUGGAGCUGAAAUCAGUCGAAGAUACCAGCUGGCUGCAACUGUUUAUUAAAAACACAGCACUGUGCAAACACGAAAGUGGACGUAUACGGUGUGACGCCUGCCCGGUGCCGGAAGGUUAAUUGAUGGGGUUAGCCGCAAGGCGAAGCUCUUGAUCGAAGCCCCGGUAAACGGCGGCCGUAACUAUAACGGUCCUAAGGUAGCGAAAUUCCUUGUCGGGUAAGUUCCGACCUGCACGAAUGGCGUAAUGAUGGCCAGGCUGUCUCCACCCGAGACUCAGUGAAAUUGAACUCGCUGUGAAGAUGCAGUGUACCCGCGGCAAGACGGAAAGACCCCGUGAACCUUUACUAUAGCUUGACACUGAACAUUGAGCCUUGAUGUGUAGGAUAGGUGGGAGGCUUAGAAGUGUGGACGCCAGUCUGCAUGGAGCCGACCUUGAAAUACCACCCUUUAAUGUUUGAUGUUCUAACGUUGACCCGUAAUCCGGGUUGCGGACAGUGUCUGGUGGGUAGUUUGACUGGGGCGGUCUCCUCCUAAAGAGUAACGGAGGAGCACGAAGGUUGGCUAAUCCUGGUCGGACAUCAGGAGGUUAGUGCAAUGGCAUAAGCCAGCUUGACUGCGAGCGUGACGGCGCGAGCAGGUGCGAAAGCAGGUCAUAGUGAUCCGGUGGUUCUGAAUGGAAGGGCCAUCGCUCAACGGAUAAAAGGUACUCCGGGGAUAACAGGCUGAUACCGCCCAAGAGUUCAUAUCGACGGCGGUGUUUGGCACCUCGAUGUCGGCUCAUCACAUCCUGGGGCUGAAGUAGGUCCCAAGGGUAUGGCUGUUCGCCAUUUAAAGUGGUACGCGAGCUGGGUUUAGAACGUCGUGAGACAGUUCGGUCCCUAUCUGCCGUGGGCGCUGGAGAACUGAGGGGGGCUGCUCCUAGUACGAGAGGACCGGAGUGGACGCAUCACUGGUGUUCGGGUUGUCAUGCCAAUGGCACUGCCCGGUAGCUAAAUGCGGAAGAGAUAAGUGCUGAAAGCAUCUAAGCACGAAACUUGCCCCGAGAUGAGUUCUCCCUGACUCCUUGAGAGUCCUGAAGGAACGUUGAAGACGACGACGUUGAUAGGCCGGGUGUGUAAGCGCAGCGAUGCGUUGAGCUAACCGGUACUAAUGAACCGUGAGGCUUAACCUUACAACGCCGAAGGUGUUU